CAAGAGCCUAUCCCCACCCGCCCCUGACCAGGUACGGUACUGUCGGCCAUGGUCGCGCUGCGGAAAUGUCCAACAAAUUGGCGUUAGCUGAGAACAUUGGCAGAGCCGUCCUGGCGGCUAUACAAAAUUCCUCGGAGGAACCUGAGGAACUCUCCGAUAGUGACUUUGAAAGUCCUGUGGGCUGGAGAAGGAGAGCCCUGUUUAUCUGGAGGAAGAUGAGGCUCUUGAAGAGGCAAUUCUGCGUAAUCUACUAGAAGAGUGUGAUGGUCCUGCUGUUAAUACUUAAAAGUCAUCUGAAAUGCUGAGCAAAGAAGAAAUUGCAGGCCUUCCACAAGCUCACAGUGAGAGAGUUAUUACAUUGGGAACAAAACAGAUCUAUAUCAGUUGAGCCAAUGUUUGGACCACAGCCUUACGUGUGUUUAAGAGACCCAGUUUUGGAGAAAGCUGUGACACGCUCUAUGUCACAUUUGCAAGCGAUGAACAUGAUGCUGUGGAAGAUGCUGCUGACCUUGGGGGUCCCAGACGAGAGUUUUUCUGCUUACUGGUGAAGGCUAUCUUCCAGGAUAGUUGAGCUUUUGAAACAAUAAUACAGUUUUAUUUAUUGUUUUGAAACAAUAAUACAGUUAUCUGAUUGCUUUUCAGAAUAAAAUUGCUUUUUCACCAAACUACCUAUACAGUAAUCCAUUAGUCACUCAAUUAUUCAUUGAUUCAGGCUUUCUUAAACCUGAGUAUUUUCCAGUCUCCAAGUCAACACUGGUUUCCCUUUGCUUUUAGAUAAAGAGCUGAGAGACACAGGACUCUAACCAAUGAUGAGCCAACAUUCCUGAAGACUUUGAGCCAUGGUCACAUCCUGGCGUUUGCUUCAGGGAGCAGCAAAGUCCCAGCCAUUGGUUUUCAUCCAACUACUAAAUUAAUAUUAAUUCAUGAUGAAAAAAAACAUCUUCCCAUUGCGCACACUUGUGCAAAUGAGCUUCACCUUUUUGUGAACGUAACAACAAUGGCUGAUAAUGAUGAAUUUAACUACUGCUUCCUAGUAGCACUAAUGAAUGGAUCUUUAUUCAGCACCAUUUAAACAACGAGACGUUUGUGGUGUCAAAUUUUAUUUUAACCAUUUGUUUAAAGAUUGUUUUAUAACGCCACAAGAUUUAGCU